rnacentral:rRNA from 1 species
GACGAACGCUGGCGGCGUGCCUAACACAUGCAAGUCGAGCGAAUGAAGUUCCUUCGGGAAUGGAUUUAGCGGCGGACGGGUGAGUAACACGUGGGCAACCUGCCUCAUAGAGGGGAAUAGCCUUCCGAAAGGGAGAUUAAUACCGCAUAAGAUUGUAGUACCGCAUGAUACAGCAAUUAAAGGAGCAAUCCGCUAUGAGAUGGGCCCGCGGCGCAUUAGCUAGUUGGUGAGGUAACGGCUCACCAAGGCGACGAUGGGUAGCCGACCUGAGAGGGUGAUCGGCCACAUUGGGACUGAGACACGGCCCAGACUCCUACGGGAGGCAGCAGUGGGGAAUAUUGCACAAUGGGGGAAACCCUGAUGCAGCAACGCCGCGUGAGUGGUGACGGCCUUCGGGUUGUAAAGCUCUGUCUUCAGGGACGAUAAUGACGGUACCUGAGGAGGAAGCCACGGCUAACUACGUGCCAGCCGCCGCCGUAA